rnacentral:lncRNA from 1 species
GCGCCUAUGUAACGUAUGUACUUUCUUAAUGGUAGGGAAGUUUCAAAGCGUGCAUAAUUCUGGUUGUCACAUUAUAACGUAGCAUAACCAAACUUACGAGCUUUUUAAACAAUAUUACAAUAAAAGUUGUGUUUGAUAUCUCCUUUAUCGUUCUUAUACUUUAUAUUCUGUAUAUCCAAAACAUUUUCUCAUAUAUGCAAUAAAAG